UCUCAACAAACAUGGUUGGUUCUCUACUCUGCACUCGAGAAGCCAUGCGUGUGAUGAAGAACCAGGCUAAGGGGGGCCACAUAUUUAACAUGGAUUGUGCAGGCUCAGGGGGAUCUAGUACCCCUCCAACAGCUGUAAGUUUCUAUAAUGUUACAGAAGUUUUAGCUCAAACAAUUUCAAUGGAACAUUACCUAUGCAGCUUGGAAUGUUGACCUCCUUACAACAGCUAUGCCAAGUGUGUUGCUCAUGGCAGCAUUGCCCAAUUUUCCUAUAGUAUGUGUCAAUUCUCCGUGCUCCUUCUCCCUUAUUGAAUUAGAAUUUUUUUUUUUUUUUUCUAGGAUUUAUUGAAUCAAAAUCUAACUUAAGAAAACUCUU